rnacentral:rRNA from 1 species
UUUGAUUUCCUUCGGGACUGAUUAUUUUGUGACUGAGUGGCGGACGGGUGAGUAACGCGUGGGUAACCUGCCUUUCAGAGGGGGACAACAGUUGGAAACGACUGCUAAUACCGCAUAAUACGAAUUUGUCGCAUGACAGAUUUGUCAAAGGAGCAAUCCGCUUAAAGAUGGGCUCAUAUCUGAUUAGGUAGUUGGAGAGGUAACGGCCCACCUAGCCGACGAUGGAUAGGGGUUCUGAGAGGAAGGUCCCCACAUUGGGACUGAGAUACGGUCCAGACUCC